UUGAAGGGCAUUUGAGUCAUGAGUAGGUAUCUAAAAAGGAUGAAUAGAGAUUAAGCAGAGGGAAGUAAGCAGAACAUGUUUGUUUCAUUCAUCAGCAAGAGUGCUUCAGAAUACCUUGGAGGCCUGCAGUAUGAAAGACAGAACCCGGAAGAAAGAGGGAUAAGGAGGGAAGAGAAUGACAGCAAGUUAAAGCAGCAGAACGUAAAAUACAGACAUGAUUUGCUGGCUCAGGGAGAACAGAGGCCCUUUGGAGAUGGCCUUUCUUCUUUCCCUCUCCUCAUGUUCUGCUACAGCCUGUUGGAAUGGCUGUGGCCUGAAAGCAGAUAAGGACAGAGGAAAUGCAUAAAACAUGAUUCACCUUUAUUUUCUAAGAGAUAACAGCCAGGAUAUGCUCAUUCAGUCGUUGUUUUUAAGUGAAUGCCAGGAGUGAUUUCUCCUUUCCCUGCUGACUUCUCUUCUAUGAAAGAGAUUUUGAAAGCUGGCAAACAUCCUGCAGUUACCACCAGAUUUGUUAAACAUGAUGCUUUGUUUUGUUUGUGGCUCUGGCUCAAAGACUUCAAACUGUACUAC